UCUUAUGGGUGAGCAAAGAAAGUGAUUUCUCAUGAUGGAAGCCACUUCUGGUGAAAAUUCUGUGAA
rnacentral:pre_miRNA from 1 species